GACGAACGCUGGCGGCGUGCUUAACACAUGCAAGUCGAACGGAAAGGCCCUGCUUUUGUGGGGUGCUCGAGUGGCGAACGGGUGAGUAACACGUGAGUAGCCUGCCCUUGACUUUGGGAUAACUUCAGGAAACUGGGGCUAAUACCGGAUAGGAGCUCCUGCUGCAUGGUGGGGGUUGGAAAGUUUCGGCGGUUGGGGAUGGACUCGCGGCUUAUCAGCUUGUUGGUGGGGUAGUGGCUUACCAAGGCUUUGACGGGUAGCCGGCCUGAGAGGGUGACCGGCCACAUUGGGACUGAGAUACGGCCCAGACUCCUACGGGAGGCAGCAGUGGGGAAUAUUGCACAAUGGGCGGAAGCCUGAUGCAGCAACGCCGCGUGCGGGAUGACGGCCUUCGGGUUGUAAACCGCUUUCGCCUGUGACGAAGCGUGAGUGACGGUAAUGGGUAAAGAAGCACCGGCUAACUACGUGCCAGCAGCCGCGGUGAUACGUAGGGUGCGAGCGUUGUCCGGAUUUAUUGGGCGUAAAGGGCUCGUAGGUGGUUGAUCGCGUCGGAAGUGUAAUCUUGGGGCUUAACCCUGAGCGUGCUUUCGAUACGGGUUGACUUGAGGAAGGUAGGGGAGAAUGGAAUUCCUGGUGGAGCGGUGGAAUGCGCAGAUAUCAGGAGGAACACCAGUGGCGAAGGCGGUUCUCUGGGCCUUUCCUGACGCUGAGGAGCGAAAGCGUGGGGAGCGAACAGGCUUAGAUACCCUGGUAGUCCACGCUGUAAACGGUGGGUACUAGGUGUGGGGUCCAUUCCACGGGUUCCGUGCCGUAGCUAACGCUUUAAGUACCCCGCCUGGGGAGUACGGCCGCAAGGCUAAAACUCAAAGGAAUUGACGGGGCCCCGCACAAGCGGCGGAGCAUGCGGAUUAAUUCGAUGCAACGCGUAGAACCUUACCUGGGUUUGACAUGGAUCGGGAGCGCUCAGAGAUGGGUGUGCCUCUUUUGGGGUCGGUUCACAGGUGGUGCAUGGCUGUCGUCAGCUCGUGUCGUGAGAUGUUGGGUUAAGUCCCGCAACGAGCGCAACCCUUGUUCACUGUUGCCAGCACGUUAUGGUGGGGACUCAGUGGAGACCGCCGGGGUCAACUCGGAGGAAGGUGGGGAUGACGUCAAGUCAUCAUGCCCCUUAUGUCCAGGGCUUCACGCAUGCUACAAUGGCUGGUACAGAGAGUGGCGAGCCUGUGAGGGUGAGCGAAUCUCGGAAAGCCGGUCUCAGUUCGGAUUGGGGUCUGCAACUCGACCUCAUGGAGUCGGAGUCGCUAGUAAUCGCAGAUCAGCAACGCUGCGGUGAAUACGUUCCCGGG
rnacentral:rRNA from 1 species